GCANAGAUCACGAAAAAGCCCAAAAAAGUUCAUUUAGGUCAAAAUUUGAGCAGAAGAAAAAGAAAUAGAAGAAUUCCAUUUUCCUUCCUCAUUUAUUGGAGAGCUCUCUUUGGGCUUUCCGAAAAGGUAUCACAUGCCAAGUUUGGCCUCACGGUCUAAAAGUUAUAGAGUCAUACAUUUUUAACAAAAUGAAAUAGAGAAAAACCGAAAAAAAGAGGGAUGUAACACGAGGACUUUCCGGGAGGUAAUCUAUCCUACUACUACUCUCGGCCAAGCACCCUUAACUGCGGAGUUCUAAUGGGAUCCGGUGCAUUAGUGCUGGUAUGAUCGCAUGUGUUACUACAUGCAAUGUAAUCGUAUCUAUUCUUUUUUAAAGACUUUAUGAUCCAUUUGCCGUGGGUCCCACCAGCUAUGUAGGAAUACCCUAUCUUCUUUAUAAGAGCUUUGAUACAUGCAAAAUAUAUGAAAAAAACGUCCGAACAUAUAAUUUUCCCCCCGUAAUAUAGCAAAGAUCAUGAAAAGGCCCAAAAAAGUACAUUAAUGUCAAAAUUUGGCGUAGAAAAAAAACCAAUAGACAUAUUCCAUUGUCCUUCGUCAUUCAUUGAAGAGCUCUCUUUGGGCUUUCCGAAAAGGUAUCACAUGCCAAGUUUGGCCUCACGGUCUAAAAGUUAUAGAGUCAUACAUUUUUAACAAUACAAAAUAGAGAAAAACCGAAAAAAAGAGGGAUGCAACACGAGGACUUUCCGGGAGGUAAUCCAUCCUAGUACUACUCUCGCCCAAGCACCCUUAACUGCGGAGUUCUGAUGGGACCCGGUGCAUUAGUGCUGGUAUGAUCGCAUCUGUUACUAUAUGCAAUGUAAUCGUAUCUAUUCUUUUUUAAAGACUUUAUGAUCCAUUUGCCGUGGGUCCCACCAGCUAUGUAGGAAUACCCUAUCUUCUUUAUAAGAGCUUUGAUAUAUGCAAAAUAUUGGAACACCAUGUCCGAACAUAUAAUUUUUCCCGUGUAAUAUAGCAAAGAUCAAGAAAAAGAAAAAAAAGUACAUUUAGGUCAAAAUUUGAGUAGAAAAAAACAAAUAGAAGAAUUCCAUUUUCCUUCCUCAUUCAGCUGAGAGCUCUCUUUGGGCUUUCCGAAAAGGUAUCAUAUGCCAAGUUUGGCCUCACAGUGUAAAAGUUAUAGAGUCUAACAUUUUUAACAAAACAAAAUAGAGAAAAACCAAAAAAAGAGGGAUGCAACACGAGGACUUUCUGGGAGGUCACCCAUCCUAGUACUACUCUCGCCCAAGCACCCUUAACUGCGGAGUUCUGAUGGGAUCCGGUGCAUUAGUGCUGGUAUGAUCGCAUGUGUUACUACAUGCAAUGUAAUCCUAUCUAUUCUUUCUUAAAGACUUUAUGAUCCAUUUGCCGUGAGUCCCACCAGCUAUGUAGGAAUACCCUAUCUUCUUUAUAAGAGCUUUGAUACAUGCAAAAUAUUGGAAAACAAUGUCCGAACAUAUAGUUUUCCCCCGUAAUAUAGCAAAGAUCACGAAAAGGCCCGAAAAAGUACAUUUAGUUCAAAAUUGGGAGUAGAAAAAAAAAACAAUAGAAGAAUUCCAUUUUACUUCCUCAGUCAUCGGAGAGCUCUCUUUGGGCUUUCCGAAAAGGUAUCACAUGCCCAGUUUGGCCUCACGGUCUAAAAGUUAUAAAGUCAUACAUUUUUAACAAAAAAAAAAGAGAAAAACCGAAAAAAAGAGGGAUGCAAUACGAGGACUUUCCACGAGGUCACCCAUCCUAGUACAACUCUCGCCAAAGCAUGCUUAACUGCGGAGUUUAGAUGGGAUCUGGUGCAUUAGUGCUGGUAUGAUCGCAUCUGUUACUACAUGCAAUGCAAUCGUAUCUAUUCUUAUUUAAAGACUUUAUC
rnacentral:sRNA from 1 species